rnacentral:rRNA from 1 species
GAUGAACGCUGGCGGCGUGCCUAAUACAUGCAAGUCGAGCGAACCACUUCGGUGGUGAGCGGCGAACGGGUGAGUAACACGUAGGUGAUCUGCCCAUCAGACGGGGACAACGAUUGGAAACGAUCGCUAAUACCGGAUAGGACGAAAGUUUAAAGGUGCUUCUGGCACCGCCGAUGGAUGAGCCUGCGGCGCAUUAGCUAGUUGGUAGGGGAAAGGCCUACCAAGGCGACGAUGCGUAGCCGACCUGAGAGGGUGAACGGCCACACUGGGACUGAGACACGGCCCAGACUCCUACGGGAGGCAGCAGUAGGGAAUCUUCGGCAAUGGGCGAAAGCCUGACCGAGCAACGCCGCGUGAAUGAUGAAGGCCUUCGGGUUGUAAAAUUCUGUUAUAAGGGAAGAACGACUUUAGUAGGAAAUGGCUAGAGUGUGACGGUACCUUAUGAGAAAGCCACGGCUAACUACGUGCCAGCCGCCGCUGUAAUAC